GAUGAAGAACGCAGCGAAAUGCGAUAAGUAAUGUGAAUUGCAGAAUUCAGUGAAUCAUCGAAUCUUUGAACGCACAUUGCGCCCGCCAGUAUUCUGGCGGGUAUGCCUGUUCGAGCGUCAUUUCAACCAUCAAGCCCCCGGCUUGUGUUGGGGACCUGCGGCUGCCGCAGGCCCUGAAAAGCAGUGGCGGGCUCGCUGUCACACCGAGCGUAGUAGCAUACAUCUCGCUCUGGGCGUGCUGCGGGUUCCGGCCGUUAAACCACCUUCAUAACCCAAGGUUGACCUCGGAUCAGGUAGGAAGACCCGCUGAACUUAAGCAUAUCAAUAAGCGGAGGA
rnacentral:misc_RNA from 1 species